CCUACGGCGUGCUGCAGUGAGGAAUAUUGGUCAAUGGCCGAGAGGCUGAACCAGCCAAGUCGCGUGAGGGAAGACGGCCCUACGGGUUGUAAACCUCUUUUGUCGGGGAGCAAAGCGAACCACGUGUGGUUCAUUUAGAGUACCCGAAGACAAAGCAUCGGCUAACUCCGUGCCAGCAGCCGCGGUAAUACGGAGGAUGCGAGCGUUAUCCGGAUUUAUUGGGUUUAAAGGGUGCGCAGGCGGAGGAGCAAGUCAGCGGUCAAAUGGCGGGGCUCAACCCCGUACUUCCGUUGAAACUGCAUCUGAUGAGUGCGCGAGAAGUAUGCGGGAUGCGUGGUGUAGCGGUGAAAUG
rnacentral:rRNA from 1 species